GUCCAUGCCCUAAACGAUGAUUACUCGAUGUGUGCGAUACACAGUACGCGUCUAAGCGAAAGCAUUAAGUAAUCCACCUGGGAAGUACGACCGCAAGGUUGAAACUCAAAGGAAUUGACGGGGGCCCGCACAAGCGGAGGAGCAUGUGGUUUAAUUCGAUGAUACGCGAGGAACCUUACCCGGGCUUGAAAGUUAUGGAAUGAUGUGGAAACAUGUCAGUCAGCAAUGACCAGAAACUAGGUGCUGCAUGGCUGUCGU
rnacentral:rRNA from 1 species